GGGUAUAAGAGUGGCGCUCGUGGUACGGACUUGCACGCACUGAACACAGCCGACCGGUCCGACAUCAACACACAGACACCCACUUAGCUAGAGCCGAGUCAAAAGUCUCAGAGCGAUGGCUUCAAUCCCAUCCGCGAACUCCCUCCUGGCUCGCAGAGAGUUCUACAGAAUACGAGCCGGAUCUGAUGCGAGCUCCUCCUCCUCCUCCGCUGGGUCUUGGGAUCAAGGCCCUUCAGAACGAUUUCCUCCUCCGCCAACCCCAGAUCUCCCUUCGGCGACCGCAGAGAAGCGCUGGUGGGAUAAAUAUUUCUUCUCAGCCGGAGCGACUCCCAUCAUCGCUGCCCAACACCAAGCUUGACGUCGCUCCCCAAAGCUGCAUCCCAGCCCAAGGGAAUCACAUGUGAAGAUGAUGGCACUGAUGCUGGAGAUGGUGGUGGUGGUGGUCGUGGCUGGUGGUGAUGAUGGUAGUCGUGGCGUCCUAUCUAGAGCCCAUCAACCAUCCGAAUGACUCACCUGCACAUACCCACGUUGUUUCAACUGUAUUUUUUUUUAUGCAAAGGACAAUGUAAGGGCAUGUAUGCAUAACUAGUCCGAUUACAUUGACUCAAGAUACACACGUGAAAUUUAAUGCAAAAGCAGAUUUUAUAACGAGUAUUUUUUACUUUGCAAUUUUAGGGAAAAGUGGUUUUACUUGCUUUCAUUAAAGGACAAGUAAUUGGACUAUUUAGUUUUUAAAAAAACUAUAAAUUAACACUUUUUAAAAAUAAAUAUACUCGUUCAACUGUUUGACUUAUGAAUGGACUUGUCCUGUCACGGCAAAUGUGGAUUUUCCACCACUGGCUGAGGGCCAUCCAAGUGCCUCGUUUGAACAUUGUAAUAUCAAUUCAACGUUUUAAGCAAGAGUUGGGCCAUGGCUCUUAACUGCUGCGUGUUAUUUUACUGAACGCACACUCAACCAUGCUGUGUGUGCAGACAUAUACUACUGGCUUAUCAGCUGCAUUAGUUUCAGCUGCCAGUUACUGAUGUGCAAUAUAUUUAGUGUAGAGCGUAAUCUCUGCUGCUGCACAUGUACAUGUGUUGUGUAAUGCUGUGCCUUUUUACAUUAUUUUUAAAUGAGCAGUGUUUAAGGUUAGGAAUAUAGUGUUAUGGUGACGGCUUUGGGUAGUGUUGAUUUAGGGUUUGUGUUCGUGUCAGGGUUAUGGUAAGGUGGUUAGUGAUAGCAUUCAGGUUUAGUGUUAGAAUAGGCGGUCGAGAUAUUACGGGAGGGUAAAUGUUAGUUUUUGGGUUCGUCAAUGUUAUGGUUCAUCUUAGCGUAUUAGAAGUCGGUGUUAGAGGUCAGGGUUAGAGGUCAGGUUUAGAGGUCAGGGUUAGUGUUGUCAAUUGUAUUCGUGCCACCUUUAGUGUUAUUGGGCAAGCAGCAGGGGUCGUGAACUUUGUGUGUCUAUCGUGGCUGUAAUUUUCAACGUCUGUCGUCCCGUGUUGACAUCGCUGAUGUAAAGUGACGUCGUUUGUUGAAGCUCUGCGAAACUUCCUGUGGAAGCCCGUGUGAGCCGUGAGCUCGGCUCUGUCGUGGAUGGAUGAUACCGUGUUUAUUGCUCUGCUUUGUAAAUAUAUACAUACAUACUUUUACACUUGACGAAUUGUACAUACCUUUUGCAACUAUCCUACCGAAUAAACAUUCAUUUUACAAAA